rnacentral:rRNA from 1 species
GAUCAUGGCUCAGGACGAACGCUGGCGGCGUGCUUAACACAUGCAAGUCGAACGAAGUUGCUCUUUGGGAAGCCCUCGGGUGGAACUGUGAGUAUACUUAGUGGCGGACGGGUGAGUAACGCGUGAGCAAUCUGCCCUGCAAUGGGGGACAACAGUUGGAAACGACUGCUAAUACCGCAUAAGACCACGAAACCGCAUGGUUUAGAGGUAAAAGGAUUCAUUCGAUGCAGG